UUUGCAGAUAACAAAAUGCAUCAAUCCUAAGGAGAUGUUUUUUGCUCUUCUUCUCCUUUAAUUUGCUAUGGGUCAAAUUACAAAUUCGACCUUUGUGUCUUAAUCAACAUACAAGGAAAAAAGAUCCCGAAUUCAUUUUUUGUGUCUCAAUCAAUGUUAGAAGAAAAAAAAAGAGAUAUGAGUUUGUGGACUUUCAAUUUGAGAGGUGUGUGUAUUCCAGAAGGAGAAUAAUAAUCAAAGCUUUCUGAGGCGUGCAAAUAGAGUGGUCGAUUGCUACCGCAACAUAUAAAGGCUUUUUGAGGCGUGCAAAUGGAGUGGUUGAUUGCUACCGCAACAUAUAAAGGGUAACAUUUAAGCUUGAAGUGACAGAUGCAUGUUUGGAUACAAGUUAUGCCAUCGGGAACUUUAGUAAGCUGUCAUAAAAUUAAAAAAUAUAGUUGUACAAUUGUAGAAUUUGAUAUAUUGUUGUGGAAUUAAUUUAAUUCCAAACCUUUUUUCAAACUUCUUUGGAUUGAGCUAGAUAGAUGACAUGUAUAUGUAUGAUGAAAAGAUAAGAUUAAUGAUAAU